UACGUAGGGUGCAAGCGUUGUCCGGAAUUAUUGGGCGUAAAGAGCUCGUAGGCGGUUUGUUGCGUCGGCUGUGAAAUCCCGAGGCUCAACCUCGGGUCUGCAGUCGAUACGAGCAAACUAGAGUGUUGCAGGGGAGACUGGAAUUCCUGGUGCAGCGGUGAAAUGCGCAGAUAUCAGGAGGAACACCGAUGGCGAAGGCAGGUCUCUGGGCCGCAACUGACGCUGAGGAGCGAAAGCAUGGGGAGCGAACAGG
rnacentral:rRNA from 1 species